CCAGGUGCAUACUGUACUGUAGGUGCAUUUAUGUGAAAUAAAGUAGUCAUACCAGGUGCAUACUGUACUGUAGGUUCAUUUAUGUGAAAUAAAGUAGUCAUACCAGGUGCAUACUGUACUGUAGGUUCAUUUAUGUGAAAUAAAGUAGUCAUACCAGGUGCAUACUGUACUGUAGGUUCAUUUAUGUGAAAUAAAGUAGUCAUACCAGGUGCAUACUGUACUGUAGGUUCAUUUAUGUGAAAUAAAGUAGUCAUACCAGGUGCAUACUGUACUGUAGGUUCAUUUAUGUGAAAUAAAGUAGUCAUACCAGGUGCAUACUGUACUGUAGGUGCAUUUAUGUGAAAUAAAGUAGUCAUACCAGGUGCAUACUGUACUGUAGGUUCAUUUAUGUGAAAUAAAUGAGUCAUACCAGGUGCAUACUGUACUGUAGGUGCAUUUAUGUGAAAUAAAUUAGUCAUACCACACAGACAGGCGUACAGGAAACUGCCAAAGACAAAUAAACACUUGAGUAAAUCAAGGAUACAAAGUAUAUUGAAAAUGGCUGCUUCCACACAGGUGUGGUUCCUGAGUUAAGUAAGC